rnacentral:misc_RNA from 1 species
CUCUCACACACACACACACACGCAUACGGAGAAAAGGUAAAAAAAGGAUGGCAACAAAAAGCAAAAAAGCACAUAACAUGACCAUAAUAAGAACAUGUUUAAUAUUGUUUAUAAGCAUCCCUCAAAAAUCAAGGUCAACCAUCAAAUGGUCUCUAUUGCAGACCUGGUACAAUUUCUAAACGACAUAAAUCAUUUAUCCUAGAAAAUCCAACUAAGAGAAGAGUUUCAAUUGUCACCUUUCAACCAAUGCUUUCUUAUCCACAUAUUCUGGAACGUAUUCAUCGCCCAUGGAAAAGAUAACCUGCAAAUAGACAUGUAGACAUUGUAGCUGUUAACAAAGCACUGAGCAUGAAGAUGGGAUCCUCGUAGAAUGUAGUAUCGAGGCAAAUCAAAUAUUGUGCUUGUUGCUUGAAACAGAGCCACCAGGGAUCAUAUUGGCUGUAAUUUUUCUACUAAUCUCCUUAAAAGGUUUUUUUAUUAAAUAUCUUUACCUUUAUCUUCAAAAUGGUUUCUCCUAAAAAAAAUUUGAUAAAUCCUCGUGUCAUAAACAUUUACGACGACAAUAUUGGCACAAUAUAUCUGUAUUUUGUACCUGGCAAGGUGUGUUGCUCAUGUGCCCAAGUCUUGUUCUCAGCUGGUCAUCACUAAGAUCAGAACUGAACAUUUCAUCAUCACCCAUAUAAGCACAAAGGGAGUGAUACCUGCAAAAACCUUGAUUUUUAGCAAGAAGGCAUACCACAGUUAUUGACCAUGCAAAUUUCCAACACAAAGCUCAGAGAAGGUCAUUAAAAAUAAAUCUCUCAUGAAUGGAAAGAAAUUUUUGGACAUAUAUGAAAAUAGAGUAAUUUGAUUCAACCUAUUCUAACCCUAGGUUCCCAACUGUGCUAUCUGGAUUCAGGUAUGAGUGAUUGAUCAAACUAUUUUUCCAUAAUUUUUUUGUAAAAGCUCUCAUUGACUUUUGAAGUUUUCCAUAAUUUUUUUUUGUAAAAUCUCUCAUCGACUUCGAGUAUCAUGCCCACAAUUAAGCAUCCUUUUUCUGAAAUGAUUCUUGUAGUAAAGAGAGGGAUUAAAUUACUAUAGUGCCAACCAAAAGAAAUCACAGACAGACCCAUAUAGAAAUUAUAUUCCAAAAUUCUGAUUACAUCAAGGGGCCCACUAAUGAAUACCCAUAGACCUACAACAUGAUGGAUUGAAAAAACCCAGUGAGCUAAAGGACAUAUUUUGAGUGCAACAUCACUAAAUAGUUGACAAUAUAUUGUUAAAUUGUCAAAUCAGUUGCUUGCCCACCUAUAAGCAGUUAGUGGGGAAGAUGAAUCUGCUUCCCUAGGCAUUAAUUCAGAUCCCCGGCCUUUCGCUAUCAUAGUUGAUGCCAAGUCAAUCAUAGCAGCAGUUUCAGGAAGACUUGCCCUGUACUCCCGAUCACUGACUGGAGCCUGAACAUUCCAAUUGGAAUUAUGACCAAAGCUGCAAGUGAAUGCACAGUAUGUAGGCAUUUGCAAGAAAUAAAAUUUCAUUACAAACAAGAGUUUCAUUAAAAGGGGAAAAGUACGCUUCUCAAUCAAUAGGCAUCACCAACUGUCACCAUUUAUCUCUAAUGGUAGUAUACCCAUCAUUUGUUAACAAAUGGUGCACCCACCUUUUACUGUUACAUGAACAUCAUGCGGUACCCUAUACUCAAAUUAAGGCAUCAAUUCCUGAGGAAAAGUAGAACUAAACAAAGGUCCACUAUUGGAAUUUCUAAAGUAAUCAGGAAAAGAACACUUAAUACUAUGUUGGGCAAUGCCAUCAUGCUUUUCAACUCUUGAUUGGCUAAUCAGUUAGUCACUGUAAAUCAGAAGGACCAACCCAGCAGACAGAUCUAACAAUCAAACUAGGUUAUGAGACAAAGCCUUAAUUUAAUAGUUGCCAAAAGUUAUUCAUUUGCCAUAGAGACACAAAUAGGUAUCAAGAUCAAGACACAAGAAGUUGCAGUUUGCUUUUAGGAAAAUACAGAUUGAUCUGAGAAUUUUGCAUUGAGUAAGGUAAUACGAGUAUAAAUGAAACAGGUGGUGAAUUACCUGCAAAAUAGCAGCACGGACUGCACGAGAACAUGCAGCAUUGGUACGCAUGUAAUGGACAAUAUCCUUGAUUCAGGUGGAAACAACCGAAAACUAAUUUUAUUUCUACUAGAAAAGCCAACAUGAUCUAUAAAAGUAAAAUUGAUAUAAAAAUUAUGAUACACGUACAAAGUUCCAUCAGAAUUCACCUGACAUCCAGUGCUGUGUCCAAGUAGGACCACACCCUCAGAAUUUUCUUUGUUGAUCAAAUAACUUACAAGCUGAUCAAUCUCCAAGGCAUCUUGUUGCAAGCUGGAAGUUCCAAAUCCACUAUAUGAUGAUGACAUAACCAGCUGAACAAGUGACCAUUUCUCCCUAUCCAAAGCAACUGCCAGAGGUUCUAAGUAUUCAGUUGCUAGAAAACCAUCCGUUAAUCCACCAAUAAAAAUGAUUUGCUGUUUAUGAUUACCUGUUUUAAAUGCAACCUGCAACCAUUAUUCAAAUAUCAUAUCAAAUAAUAAAUUCAAAAGCAUAAACUUCAAAAUAAUACAUAAUUUUCAGUAGCAUAUAAGAAGACUUUUCAAGACAUAACAAAAAUACAACAUUGGAAACAACCUGAAAAUUUUCAAGUAUGAAGCAAUGAAGAUAUCAUAGAACAAGAAGUCCAACUCCACAAAUUACACUACUGACAAGAACUUAGGAAAAGGUUACAAGAACCAACUAAGAGGUCAUACUGCUACCACCCACAGAACACUCUUUUGAUCAUAAAUUUUUGUUCUAGAUACUGUUACAGCACAGUUUUUGUCCCAAGAAAAUGAAGCCAGUGCAUACUAUUCCAAUUAAGCUAAGUCAGUGGAUGCAUACUCCAGUGACAGGUUCUGAUAUAAAAUCUCCCUUAUUCUGAAUAAAUCCUUGUCUUUUAAGAACACAUAAUGCAAAUAUUCCACUGAGCACUUACUUGCAAGAUCAUUUAGAAUUUGAGAAAAAGAGUGAAAAUUCAUCGAACUUGUGAAUGUUGCUAAUAAAGCUAAUCUUAAAUAUUUUUAAUUACGUAACUGUUGAGGCAUAUUUUCCUUCUAUUAAGCAGUCGACUUGACACCGCCAUUAUCAAGAGCACAUUGUUUAUGUCCAGAUCAAACUUUCAGCUCAAAUUAGAAAGAUUAAUUCCAAAUACAAGGCUAAAAGUCAACAAUUAGUUAUAUUAAUACACUCAAUUAAGAUAAAAUCAUCACAAAUCAUUCUAACAGAAAACAAAUACUCUCCUAAUUUUAAUUUAGCCAACCUGUAUAGGCUUUGGUCCGUACUUGAAGAGCACACCGCGGAACUGGUUCUUGCCCUUGAUUGGACAGGCGCUGUCACCGUCGCCUGUGCCCGAAUUGCCUGCCAUUUUGAGGUUCCCGGAUCGAUCAGCCCGGCCACGAACAAUGCCGGAGAACCAAGAAGUAGCUGAGGAAGAGGGAGAAGAAGACGAAGA